rnacentral:rRNA from 1 species
UACGAAGGGGGCUAGCGUUGCUCGGAAUCACUGGGCGUAAAGCGCACGUAGGCGGAUUGCUAAGUCAGGGGUGAAAUCCUGGAGCUCAACUCCAGAACUGCCUUUGAUACUGGCGACCUUGAGUCCGGGAGAGGUGAGUGGAACUGCGAGUGUAGAGGUGAAAUUCGUAGAUAUUUCGCAAGAACACCAGUGGCGAAGGCGGCUCACUGGACCACAACUGACGCUGAGGCGCGAAAGCUAGGGGAGCAAACAGG